rnacentral:rRNA from 1 species
UACGUAGGAGGCAAGCGUUGUCCGGAGUUACUGGGCGUAAAGCGCACGCAGGCGGUCGCAUUAGUCUGGGGUGACAGUUCCCGGCUUAACCGGAAAGGACUCUGGAAACUGUGCGACUUGAGGGCUUCAGAGGGAUGUGGAAUUCCAGGUGGAGUGGUGAAAUGCGUAGAGAUCUGGAAGAACACCAAAGGCGAAGGCAGCAUCCUGGGAAGUUCCUGACGCGUCGGGUGCGAAAGCCAGGGAGCGAACGGCGGUAGUUACCGAGACCGACGAGCAGCAACAUCGUCCUGUCGUCACC